CACACUGCGGGGACAGUCUGGAGGCUUGCAGUGACUCAGACACAGCCAAUUUCUCCCCUAAUAGCACUGAAUCACGAUUCCAGCGGCCAGUGGUCGCCCCUCGUCAAGGUCUAAGGCUGCGGCAGCCCCGGCUCCCGGAGGCCGUUUCCGCGCGCACACGCGCAUCCAUACGUACAGACGUGCUCGGGAUGCGGGUCCCGCCGGCGGGCACCUGGGCACUGCGCCCCAUCUGGACUGAAAUGGGGACACCCCUUCGGGGGUCCCAGGCUCCUGGCCAUAUUGUUCUCCUUCUCCUCGUGAUAACUCCGCAGUGGAGGUGGAUUCCGUCCAAAACGCCCCAACGUGGCUCCGCGUAGCAGUCAGCGCUGCAAUCCUGGCGGUUACCUCAGCGGCGGCGUCUCCCUCUGCGCCUCACACUCGCAGCCCGCGGCCCUCCCCAACUUAGGGCGUAAUUUACAAAAGAAACUACUCCAGACGCGCUGCAAAGGGAGGCGCUUGUGCCCGAAAGCUGGAGAUCAGACGCGGGGCCAUUCUGCAUGUGUGAUGUUUCUGGGUGGGGGGGUGGGGGUGGGGAGUGUGGGUCGGAGUCGGGGUCGCGGGGCGGGGGGGAGUCAGGCAGAAAGACCGGGAGAACCUCUGCUAUGAAGGAUCCGCGAGUCCUAAAAUGUAAGCUCCGUGUGACUAACGAUCUGCACUGAUUUGGAGAGCAGGCAUGUUAAAGGUCACGGACAAUUGUUGCUGGCUUCAGCAUGAAUGCCGAAGUGGGAUGUAUUCUUCAGCAAUCACAUUUAAGUCUGAUUCACCGAAAAGUAUUGACGUGCUCACCAUUCAUUUCAGUACACUGUGAAAAUGCACAAAGAAAGUAUCCCCAAAUUCAGUUAAUUACAAAGCUGUAAAUGGCUCGUAUACACAUAUUAUUACAUACAUGUAGGUAACAACAAAGAUUAAAGUUUGAAGACUUGACACUUUAAUAGCUUUUUGGUAGGAUUUUGGAAUGAAUAUGAGUCAGUCCUGUAAACCUACAUUCAUCUGCAUUCUUGGGUCUAUUUAAAACUACAAUCUUGCACUAACAAUUUCCACGUGUUGAAAAUGGACAAGGCAGAUCAUUGAAUGGUGAUCAAGACUUCCAAACCCCUCCACUUAAAACUGUUCGUGACUUGCUUCCUUUUUCUAGCCGGUUUAGGGCCCUGUCUUAAGUCUCACCCACAUGUGAUUUCACUCAGGGCAUUGUCUGUCUGCAAUAAUAUUGUGCUUUUAAACCAUUUCCUUUCUUACACAUUUAUCUACAGUGCAUGCGAAAUCUGAGAGCGUAAUUUGAUGGAUGGGCAAGAGUUAAGUCCUGGUGUCUGGUGUGGCCGACCUAGAAAAUGGCAGCUGGAGGGCCAGCAUCAUUUUGUUACUGACAAUUGAAACGUGUUCACAUUGAUUGUACACAAGUGACUGGUGGUUGUUCAUUUGUCAAUGCACUAUUCUUAGCUCACUCCACACACACAAAAAAAGGUAUAAAAAUCAAAUGUUUAAUAUUAAGUUUCCAUACUAUUCCUGUAACCAUAUUUAGCAUUGCCAACAUUUCAACUGUUUUAAUAGCUUCAAACACUUAAAGUAACCAUUAGGGAUUAAGGACACUGCCCCUGGAAUGGCCCAGGAAAGCUUCUGCUAUUUUGAAAGGCUUAAGUAAAUUAUAGUAUUUGGAUGGGGCAAAGUCAGCAGUAUUAAUGGUUGAAUAUUAAUGGUUGAUUUUGGCUACUUGUUUUCUUUUAGUGAUGUGAUAUUUUACACAUGUAUGGGGUACGUGUAUUUGUUACAAGCGUAGAAUGUGUAAUGAUCAAGUUGGGGCGCUUAGGGUACUCAUCACCUGGAGUAUUUAUUGUUUCUAUGCGUUGGGAACAUUUCAAGUUCUGUCUUCUAUCUAUUUCAAAAUACACAAUCCAUUGUUAUUAACUGUAGUCACUGUAGGCUGCUAUCAAAUAUUAGAACUACUCCUUCUAUCUAACUGUAUGUUUGUACCCAUUCAUUAACCUCUUCAUUUCCCCCUCCCACCCUCUACUUAUAAUUUUAUAACAGAUAAUAAUUUUGGUUAAUGAAAUAAAUGGGGGAAAGAAAGC
rnacentral:lncRNA from 1 species